GGCUGAAAGACAAGGCCUAUAUAUAUUGUCUUGUUAAAAAGUAAAAACACAUGUUUUCUAAUACAUAUGUAAGUUCUCUUUGAUUUUGGAAUAUUGAUUCAUUCAUUGUCAAUUGAUGAUUUUGGAUUGAACGUCCAUAAAUCUUAGCAUAAAUUUUGAGUUAUUUCGUCACUUUUCAAAACUAACAACUUUCACGAUAGUAAACAAACACUCAUGACACACUCAUAAUCUUUCUUCAUCAAUUCAAGGCUCUUUAGUCUUUAUUUAUUGCACUUUCAAAGACUGAACUAUAAAGAGCACACACACACACACACACACACAUGUAUAGAUACAUGAGGACUCUUCCUCUAUUCCUCUGAAAAGAGAUGUUCAUCGAUCUCUUUGGAAACUUUGAUUGCAAACUGGAGGAGAGUUUCAGGGUGAGCCACCUCCUCGUUGAUUUUCUCAUACUCAAAGUGCCAAUGUGCAACACUUCCAGGUUCUCCUUCCUUAGGGGUCACCUGGAAGGUGAUCAAGAAGCUCUUGUACUCUUUCAUUAGGUCACCCUCUAACACCCUAUAUGUGGCCCGAUUGUUCUCCGGAUCUAUUGACUCAAUCCUCUAUUUCACUACUUUUGCCUCCCCAUCUGAUCAAUAUAACGUUGAUGUAUAUUUAUAGGUAUGAGAGUAUUAGAAAUCACACAUUGAAAUAAGAUGAGAGGAUCUAAAGUAAUAUAUAAAACAUAUGAGUUAAUCCACCCGUUUCCUAUUUAUUUUGAUUUGAAAAUCGAUGAAUCUUAUAAAAAUUUAUAUAAAUAGAGAAAAAUGAAUUUGACUUGCCAUGAACGUAAUUCCAAAAGAGGAUAGCACCAACUUGUCCCAUUUCGCCUUCAUGCAGCUCACAGCCUUGAAAGUUGGAUGGAGAUACAUCGGAGAUAUUGUGUGGCCUCCCAACAAACAUGUCAUGAAACUUUUCUGUCGAAGAUUUUAGGUCUACGGUUGUCUCAAGGAUCCCAACCAAAGUAGAUACUUCCUCCGCCAUUCUUGAUCUCCCACUAAGUUCUGUGUCUCGUAGGGUUUUGCGUUCUGAGAGUAAAUAGUAAAUUGGUUCCUUCUGAUUUCUUUAGCUCCUUUUAAGAGAGGAAUGAAUAGAGCGAGAACAAGACUGAAUUUUAUUUUAUGGCUAAUUGAUAAUAAUAUUUUGAUCAAGUCAUUCUCCUAUGUGAUCACAUUAACCAUCUGCCGCUAACUGAUGAUAAAGCAGAAUUAAUUGUUUGAUAUUUUUUAAAGAAAUGUCAAAACUAAGGCUAUAUAUAGCCAUAUAAAUUAUAGUCCGUAGCUCGUGUCAUACAAAAGAUUUUGAAGGAGUAUCAGUAUUUCAUAAGCCAACUGAUUCAUGUACUAUUCAGUAUUUUAUAUUUCUAAAUCAUCCAAAAAGAUCGUAUAGCUUUUUUGUCAACUCUAUGAGAUCAUAUCUUUUGUAAAUGGAAUACACGUUAUUUCAUAAUUUUAAAUGAUAUAAUAAACAUAUGUUUAUCUGUUUUUGUUUUCUCCCGUUGAGGACUUGCCACACCACAAUUUGAAAAAGAUCGUUUUAUCUGGCCGUGUCUCUUGCAAAAAUGGUCUGUUUCUUUGUGCAAUUCCGGAUAAGAAUUGGGACGGUACAAAAGGGACAAUAGAAAUUUUUAUUUUUAAAAUUAAUUUUAUGUAUGUAUAUAUGUUCUGAAUUGUUAAUAAAAACAAGAACAUUAUGUAAAUAUGAUUUUCUUAUAUAUUAAGUGUGAGGUUUUAUGAUUAUUUGUUAUUUAACAUUUCAUAUCUAAAUUAAUAGUUAUCUAUUAUGAAACCUUUUGAUUGAGUUUUUUGGCUCGUUCUAUACCCAAACAUUAUUUGAUAGCGUCACUAGAUAGGUUUUUUAAUUAUAAACAAAAAUUUGAGAACAAGAGCAUAAACCAAUUGUAUGGCCCCAAAGUUUGACUCUGGUGCAUGGAUUAAAAAAAAGAGUUUUUUGUCCACAAAAAAAAAACAAGAAAAAACUAUUUUCAAAACUUUCACAAUUUUUUUUUAAAAUAUUUUGUUUUUGGAAAUCUUACAAAUCAAUCUGAACAACACUUGGAAAAAAGUCAUUACACUUUUGGAAAACAAAUGUUUUCAAUAAUAUUCAUGGAAAAAAAAGAAAAUAAAAAAUUGGAAAUGGAUGUGGAUGGAGAUAACUUACAGUCCUACACUACCUCACAGGCCACAGUUUUUGCCUUUGAAUAAAAAAUAAAAACCAUCAAUUUUCUCAAUCAUAAAUAUAUCUGCCAGGUGACAUCCCGACAAUUUGAAAAGGUAUUUGGUAGUCGUCACUAUCGGAUUAUUGAUAACUUGAGAUUAAUGUACUAUUAUCAAUUGUUAAGUGUAAUUGCCUAGUUGGGUGGAAGUUGGUUUUAUAUUAUUACCCAAAAACCCAUGACAAUCAAAUCAAUCAAUUUGAUGAAUAAUCUUAUAGUUUAUCAGCGAGAACUAACGACUCCAAAUCAAAUUAUAAUAAUAGAAUUACUAGAUAUAUGAUCUACAUACUAUGUGUGGCUAUGUUUUAUUGAAAAUAUUAACAUUUUUAGAUACAUAAAACUGUUUUAAAAUUUAAACAAUGAGGUAACUACAAAAAAAAAAUUAGAAAUUUAUAAUAUAGUUUAUGAUAAAUACUAGAUAAUUUGAUCUAUAUAAGUUCCAAAAAAAAAACAUAUAAAAUGAAAUAUAAGCUAGAUAACUAUUGUAUCAAUGACAUAAUAUUGUAUAUUUCUUGUUUGGUAAUCAUAUUUUAAUUAUCGUUAUUUGCUCAAGACUAAUUAUUUUUUCAUUCAAACUUUGUUCCGCUUAUUUUGCACCAUAUGUUAUGUUUGUCCGUCCAUCUAACACUAGCCACAUUUAUCAAUAAUUCAAUAUCAUAUUUAUACCCUCAGAGUUUUUUUAUUCACAUAACUUUGGUACAUAUAACAAUUACACACAUGGCUUAGAGAGAAGCAAAUAAAACCGUUGUUAUAUAAACAGAACAAUAUAUAAAACACAUCUAAAAUCUUAAAUUAUCUAUGUUUUGAGAAGAUUAGAUUCAAUGUCUUUAGUGAGAUAGACUGCAAAAUCCAUGUAUUUGUUCGGAGCUGGAGAAUCUGCAUUAAGCUUCUCGUAUUCCCAGCUCCAUCUUGCUAUACUUCUACCAUGAAGCUUUGGUAUGAUCUGAAGAUUGCAUGUGAAACUACUAUAAUUCUCCAUCACAUCUCCUUCGAACACAAACACAGUCAUUGAUUUGUUUGCCUCGUCUAUUUCAACUCUCUCCUUCAUUUUCUCUACUUUUCCAUCUGUAACACAAACCCAUGAAGUUAAAUUGAUACAUAGAGUAGCUUAUAGUAAGUUGAGACACAAGAAGUUAUGUUUUUACCAACAGACAAAGUCCAGUUCUUGGUGCCUUUACAGCCAUCACCAAUAUGCUCCUCCACGCUAAGUAUUUUCUCUGGAGAUAGUUUUGGUACGCUACGUGAAGUAGACUUGAUAGCUUGGAAAAUGAUUUUCCGAAAAUCAUAUCAGCUGAUACAUUGAUCUCCACUUCUAUCAUGGAUUUCGCCAUCUGAGCCAUCACAUCUCUGUUGUUGAUCCUUUAGUCUCAGUGUAACUCUGCUUAUAUAAGUGAAGUCUUUUGGAGGAAGAAUAUGUACCAUGCCUAGCAUUAACGUAGGCUUAUAUGAAUAGUUUCUUUGUUCUCUUCACAUACAAGACUCAUUUGGGGAAUUGAUUCACCAAGAAUCUGAACACAAAAACAGGCUUUCACAACUGUGACAGAACUUCACUUAAUUCACAUUCCAAGCUUCAGGGGAACACUUUAGACGUGUCUUUUAGCAUUCUAACCGAUGUGUACAACAUACCAAUAACUGCAAAAGUGCAUUUAUGUAUUUGUCACAUCUGAGCUAUGCAUCCACUGAUCCACAAUUGGUUAAAUUGAAAAACUAGAAAGAUAGAUUAGAGGAGAGAGUUUAUAAACUUCCACAUGCAAGGAACAGUUACUAAGCAAAAUGCCAAAAUCUAGAGCUUAAGGAGUGAACAAUCGCAAACCCAAGUUCCUUACUAUAACUUCGAUAAAACCCAAAUUCGAGACUAAAUUUAUUCCCAUGUGAUUAAGCGCAAAUACAGAACAGAGAUCAAAGAUUGAAACUUUAAAACUAUUUUUAGCGAUUCCACACAUCUACGAACACACAAAAACUACCAAAAACGUAGUAGAACUUACCAUAAACGAUUGUAAUGUCAUUGGAGAAGAAGUAUGCUCCUCAGUUUCGUAGAAUCAAACAAGAUAUUCCGCCACAGAGCUCGUUUACCGUGAUAAAGAUUUAAAAUUUAGGGUAAGUUCCUAUUAGAGUGUGGGCUUCCAACCUAAAACCAAUUGGCUAUAGGUGGAGAGGCCCAUAUCUUAUAUAUAUCACUUAAGAUCCUACUCAACAUCCGAUGUGGGACAUUGUCCCUAAUAGUUCCUUCUUCUGAGGGGCAAUGUCGUUCGAAAAGAUCGAACAAGGGCUUAAAGCAACACGCUUUUCCUCGUAAUUUGCGAUUCGAGACGAGGAAAAAGAGUUGUUGAGAGAGAAGAGAAAGGUUUUGUGACCGCUACGAACUUGAAGAUCGACAUGGCGGAUCAAAAGAUAUUAUUUACCAGUAAGAUAAUGCCACGUGGAAUAUUAUCAGACGCUCCACGUGUUAUUAUUUAAUUCGCCUGCAGCCCAAAGCAUGAGAAAUGUUUUUUUUUUUAACUUUUUCGAUUUUGUUGAGAAAUGAAAGUUGAACAAAAUUGAAUGGUGAUUUUAAUAACUGUGUUUAUAAUAAUCAAUUUAAUUGAUUUUUCUAAAUUUUAGUGGUAAAACCAAACCUUUUUUGAAACAAAAUUCUUGGUGAGAAAAAAAUAAUCCUCGCUUCAAAUUAAGUUCAAAUUAAUUACUUCAAACGUAGACGUAUGAAUACACGUACGUAUGACACACACCAACAGAUAUCUCUUACACGAGCUCGGGCACGUGCGGCUCAGUGUUUAUUGCAGUUUCAAAAACUUAGUUAAGCAGACGUGCUUAAGACGUCACACACACACACAUAUAUAGAAUAGAUACAUAUUGAAUCUUCCUCUAUUCCUCGGAUAAGAGAUGUUCAUCCAUAUCUUUAGAGACUUCGGUUGCCAACUGGAGGAGAGUUUCAGGGUGAGCCACCUCCUCGUUAAUUUUCUCAUACUCAAAGUGCCAAUGUGCAACACUUCCAGGUUCUCCUUCCUUAGGUGUCACUUGGAAGGUCGUCACGAAACUCGUGUACUCUUUCAAUAAAUCACCCUCUACCACCCUGUACGUGAUCCGAUUUUUCUCCGGAUCCAAUGACUCGAUCCUUUGUUUCGCCGACUUUGCCUCCCCAUCUGCACCAAAAUUAUCAUUUCACAUAUAUUUUAUAGGUUUCCAAAAUAAGAGAGGAUCUAAGGUAAUCUAUAUUAAAACAUUAUAUGCAUCUUGGAAGCCGAUGAAUCUUGAUAAAUAUUUAUAUAAAGAAAGAAAUAUAAAGUUGACUUGCCAUGAACGUAAUUCCAGAGGAUGACGGCGCCAACUUGGCCCAUCUCGCCUUCUUGAAGCUCAGCGCUCUGAAUGUUGGAUGGAGUUGCAUUGGACAUAUGGUGUGG
rnacentral:lncRNA from 1 species